UACGUAGGGUGCAAGCGUUGUCCGGAAUUAUUGGGCGUAAAGAGCUCGUAGGCGGUUUGUCGCGUCUGCCGUGAAAGUCCGGGGCUCAACUCCGGAUCUGCGGUGGGUACGGGCAGGCUAGAGUGCGGUAGGGGAGACUGGAAUUCCUGGUGUAGCGGUGAAAUGCGCAGAUAUCAGGAGGAACACCGGUGGCGAAGGCGGGUCUCUGGGCCGUAACUGACGCUGAGGAGCGAAAGCAUGGGGAGCGAACAGG
rnacentral:rRNA from 1 species